UACAGAGGGUGCAAGCGUUGUUCGGAAUUACUGGGCGUAAAGGGCGCGUAGGCGGUUCGUUAAGUCCUGUGUGAAAUCCCCCGGCUCAACUGGGGAACUGCACAGGAAACUAGCGGGCUUGAGUUCGGGAGAGGGAAGCGGAAUUCCGGGUGUAGCGGUGAAAUGCGUAGAUAUCCGGAGGAACACCGGUGGCGAAGGCGGCUUCCUGGACCGACACUGACGCUGAGGCGCGAAAGCUAGGGGAGCAAACGGG
rnacentral:rRNA from 1 species